rnacentral:rRNA from 1 species
GGGUCUACCCAUUGGUCAGGCUUAAUUGUCUGCACUGGUGAGAUGGAUCUCUACCUUCUGAGGAACUUUCAUGCCAUUUAUUUGGUGUGAUGGGAAAUCAGGACUGUUACUUUGAAAAAAUUAGAGUGUUUAAAGCAGACUAUCGUCUGAAUACAUUAGCAUGGAAUAAUGAAAUAGGACGUUCGAUCCUAUUUUGUUGGUUUCUAGGAUCACCGUA